rnacentral:lncRNA from 1 species
CUCCGCAUCGUUCUUACAUUACCUUGUUCUAUUUCCGUCUUAGUCUGAAAGAAGAAGAAGCUUCUAUGGACGAAUGUCAGCACAAAAUUGCCCCCUUUAUUUGAAAUUCAUCACUCUACCAAGUAAGUGCUUUUCCUUGCAUUUGAAUUUUGAGGAAAUAUUUGAAUCCACCAUUGAUAAUCUAAUGAUAUGUUCAAAGAGGCUUCUGGGUUUUUAAGGCAAUGAAUGAAACUUAUCUGACAUUCAAAUGUUAAAUUCUCUUGAAAUUAUGUUUUUUAAUUGAUUACAUGUUCAAAUGUUCAUAGUUUGUUUGCAAUAAAUGAUUUUUGGGACAAUUGAUUUUAGAUGGUUGGUUGGACUGCAAUAACUGAUAUGUUCGCUACGACUGCCGGAACAGAAGAGUUGCAUGCAUUUUAUCCCAUUAGACCGGAAUGCAUUGCCGAUGUUCCUAAGACCCGACUCCGGCUGAGGGCGUGUCCAGUU